AGUGAACGCUGGCGGUAGGCCUAACACAUGCAAGUCGAACGGCAGCACAGUAAGAGCUUGCUCUUACGGGUGGCGAGUGGCGGACGGGUGAGGAAUACAUCGGAAUCUACUUUUUCGUGGGGGAUAACGUAGGGAAACUUACGCUAAUACCGCAUACGACCUACGGGUGAAAGCAGGGGAUCUUCGGACCUUGCGCGAUUGAAUGAGCCGAUGUCGGAUUAGCUAGUUGGCGGGGUAAAGGCCCACCAAGGCGACGAUCCGUAGCUGGUCUGAGAGGAUGAUCAGCCACACUGGAACUGAGACACGGUUCAGACUCCUACGGGAGGCAGCAGUGGGGAAUAUUGGACAAUGGGCGCAAGCCUGAUCCAGCCAUACCACGUGGGUGAAGAAGGCCUUCGGGUUGUAAAGCCCUUUUGUUGGGAAAGAAAAGCAGCAGGUUAAUACCCCGCUGUUCUGACGGUACCCAAAGAAUAAGCACCGGCUAACUUCGUG
rnacentral:rRNA from 1 species